rnacentral:rRNA from 1 species
UACGUAGGGGGCUAGCGUUGUUCGGAAUCACUGGGCGUAAAGCGUAUGCAGGCGGAUUGUUAAGUCGGGGGUGAAAUCCCGAGGCUCAACCUCGGAACUGCCUUCGAUACUGGCAAUCUUUGAGUCCGGGAGAGGUGAGUGGAACUCCGAGUGUAGAGGUGAAAUUCGUAGAUAUUCGGAAGAACACCAGUGGCGAAGGCGGCUCACUGGCCCGGUACUGACGCUGAGAUACGAAAGCGUGGGGAGCAAACAGG